rnacentral:rRNA from 1 species
GAUGAACGCUGGCGGCGUGCUUAACACAUGCAAGUCGAACGGUAACGCCCUGCUUGCUUGGUGUUUUGGGGGGCGACGGGUGGGUGACACAUGAGUACCUCGCCCUCUACUCUUUGGUAAGCCUUGGCGAAUGGGUCUAUACCCUAAUAGGGCAUUCCACCUCAUGGUGGGAGUUGGGGAUAUUUAGCGCUUUUGGAUGGGCACGCGGCGUAACCGCUUUUUGGUGUGGGAGUGGCUCACCCCCACGAAGACGGGUAGCCGGCCUGAGAGGGUGACCGGCGACACGGGGACUGAGAGACGGCCCAGACGCCUACGUGAGGCAGCAGUGGGGAAUAUUGCACAAUGGGCGCAAGCCUGAUGCAGAGACGCCGCGUGAGGGAUGACGGCCUGCGGGGUGAAAACCGCUUUCGGUAGGGACGAAGCGAUAGUGACGGUACCUGAAAAAGAAGCACCGGCUAACUACGUG